UACGUAGGGUGCGAGCGUUGUCCGGAAUUAUUGGGCGUAAAGAGCUCGUAGGCGGUCUGUCGCGUCGGUCGUGAAAACUUGGGGCUUAACCCUGAGCUUGCGGUCGAUACGGGCAUGACUGGAGUUCGGUAGGGGAGACUGGAAUUCCUGGUGUAGCGGUGAAAUGCGCAGAUAUCAGGAGGAACACCGGUGGCGAAGGCGGGUCUCUGGACAGUUCCUGACGCUGAGGCACGAAGGUCAGGGGAGCAAACGGG
rnacentral:rRNA from 1 species